rnacentral:rRNA from 1 species
CCUACGGGCGGCAGCAGUGGGGAAUAUUGCACAAUGGGGGAAACCCUGAUGCAGCGACGCCGCGUGAGGGAAGAAGGAUUUCGGUAUGGAAAGCUCUAUCAGCAGGGGAGAAAAUGACGGUACCUGAUUAAGAAGCCCCUGCUAACUACGUGCCAGCAGCCGCGGUAAUACGGAGGGGGCAAGCGUUAUCCGGGUUUACUGGGUGUAAAGGGGGUGUAGACGGCAGCACAAGUCUGGAGUGAAAUGCCGGGGCUUAACCCCGGUACUGCUUUUGAAACUGUGCAGCUAGAGUGCAGGAGAGGUAAGUGGAAUUCCUGGUGUAGCGGUGAAAUGCGUAGAUAUUAGGAGGAACACCAGUGGCGAAGGCGGCUUACUGGACUGUAACUGACGUUGAGGCACGAAAGCGUGGGGAGCGAACAGGAUUAGAUACCCCAGUAGUC